rnacentral:lncRNA from 1 species
AAAUAUAAGAUAACAUCACUACACAAUUAUCGCCGAAUAAUUGUACGUAUACGGGUUCCCGGAAGCAUCUAUUUCGACACCGGAACUCACCGUCGGUCACCCAUCAUCACCGAACCCACAAAAUGAUGAUGGUGACCAGCCAACAAGGCUUAGCGACAAUUCACAGGAUAAACAAACCACGUCGGAAGAAAUCCGAACUGAAACCACGUUCUUUCGGCGAAUUUCGCCGAAAAACGCACCGAAAUCGACUUUUCGAUUUCCGCAAAAGCUACAGGAUCAUGGACAAUCAGUCCAGAGGUCAAACACACUCAUACACACUGUCCACAGUGGCCCUAGGGUGCACAAUUGUACAAAAGUCCCUCUAAUUACAUAAAAUCCUAUCAUUUCAUAUAAUUUGAGCGAUUAAGUGGCUCGUUCACGCAAACCGAGAACUUCCAAGGUGUGUCGAGACACGUAAUGACAGGUCUCGAUGUGCCGGAGGCCGUGCUCAUGAUCUGGAGCACAACAGCUCACUGUGGGAGGCGCGGGCGCAACCCGAAGAUUCUGCGAACAGCGCGCAGUCCGGGAAAAACGCGCCGAACAAGACUAACCGGACUCUAUUGAUCCAAAGUAAGGUGAGCACUGUGAUCAGCA